UACGUAGGGACCGAGCGUUGUCCGGAAUCAUUGGGCGUAAAGAGCGUGUAGGCGGCCACUUAAGUCCUGCGUGAAAUCUUGCGGCUCAACCGCAAGCGGUCGUGGGAAACUGGGUGGCUAGAGUGCGGGAGAGGAGAGUGGAAUUCCUGGUGUAGCGGUGGAAUGCGCAGAUAUCAGGAAGAACACCCGUGGCGAAGGCGGCCCACCUGGGCCGGUGCUGACGCUGAGGCGCGAAGGCGUGGGGAGCGAACGGG
rnacentral:rRNA from 1 species